UACGUAGGGGGCGAGCGUUGUCCGGAUUUAUUGGGCGUAAAGAGCUCGUAGGCGGCUUGUCACGUCGGAUGUGAAAGCUCGGGGCUUAACCCCGAGUCUGCAUUCGAUACGGGCUAGCUAGAGUGUGGUAGGGGAGAUCGGAAUUCCUGGUGUAGCGGUGAAAUGCGCAGAUAUCAGGAGGAACACCGGUGGCGAAGGCGGAUCUCUGGGCCAUUACUGACGCUGAGGAGCGAAAGCGUGGGGAGCGAACAGG
rnacentral:rRNA from 1 species